UGAAGUAAAUCAUAUUAAGAUUUCUACAAUAUCAUAUUUUCUGUGGAUAUUAAAAGCAUAGAGCAUGCAUCAAAAAGAAAAGAACAAAAGAUUAGUAAUCUCAAUUCUUAGAAACAUUUAGAAUUCUUUCUUGUUUGAUACAAAGCAUGCUAACUUGCACUUUUUGUUCUUACAAUAGAGACACCUUUGAUGACAUUUUGAACACAGAACAUAUAUUCCAAACACAGCAUGCUUGAUGCUCCCUAAUUAACUUUUCAUGUAAAAACAUCUUAUCUUACAAAUACAU
rnacentral:lncRNA from 1 species